rnacentral:lncRNA from 1 species
GAGUAACUUCUCUACUCUUUUAUUAAAAAUGGCUAACGGACUAAAUGUCAGUUACAUAAGAAAGAUUUAGGUUUGUCUGUGAAGGUCAUAUCUACCGGUACCAUGAAAUACUGAGAAACCACGUUGUUACUCUUUUUAUCUUUCAUUUGCUUUUAACUACACUGCUUUCUUUAUGCGGGGCAUUUUAUAUAAUGUACCUAACAUGCCAACAGAAAUUGUAUGUUCUUCAUAAACUCCAGACCAAUGUGCUUUUGCAGUGAUAGAAGUGACCUGUGAAAUCUGUGUCAACCUCAGAGCCAGGGUAAGAUACCGUCAUCACACUGCCAGCCUGCCUGCUUCUCUGGGUCCUUGUGGCAGGGGAAGGAGAUGAGACAGGGAGUAGGAGAGAGACUGACUGCUACAAAGGGACCUGUGCAGCUUCACUCUUAUAGCCACUGUCUGUGUGGAUCUCUUUUGACAAUCAUCUUUUAUCAAGCAACAUAAAAAUAUCAGUACUAUUAAGUAUCCAUAAGAAGGCACCAAUCAUGAGUGGAUAUUUCCAUAUAUAAAACCUAGGUUUCUUUCCUUUCAAUAUGUGCAUUGAGUUCAAUUCUCAUCUGGAAACAGGGAAUGAAAGCCGCUUGUAUGGAUAGUUGUCAGGAAGACAUAUACAGGAUAUAAGUUAAAAGCACAGACAAGCAUGUUCUGUGUUUACAGGGGGCAGGAACUCUCUCAGCAAGAAGUCCUGGUACGACAAGACAGUUAAAGGCAUUCCAGGAAUAUACUGUUUUCAUUUGGCUGUGAGUCUUCCUAGAAAAUGUAAAAGAAAGUUUUCCCUGUUAAGAUAACACAUUUUCUCUUUAUGGUUUCAUGAGGGCAGAAGGAAGCUCUCAGCUGUUCUUACAUAAAGCCUUGUCUGAGAGGUAUGGGAUGCCUGAUAUUUUUUAUGCUUAGAUUUAUAUAACAUUAUAGCUCUUCUUCUCUUUGAAGAGGCAAUAUGGUUGAAUAAGAUCAUAAAUUUAAAUUUACUAUUAAAAAGUAUUAAGUAUUAUGUGUAAUACACACUGAUUUUUCUAAAAUGCAAGUCUGAUCUUGUCAUCUCUUUCUACCUUAAAAUUUAUUAUAGGUCUCCUAUUUUUUAGAACAUUAAAAUCCAAGCUUCUUAUGGGAUGCAAAGCACUUGGUGGCCUCAUCUCAUUGUUCUUCUUUGUACUUGAGCAUCAUAGAGUUAGUUACUUGUAGCUUUGAAUUCGUAUUAUUUUUCCACACCUCUGUGACUUGGUGCAUAGGCUUUAAUAAGCCUGAAAUGUCUUCCCUCUCUUCCUAUGUGAUUGAUUCCUAUUUAUCCUCAACACAAAAUUCAGAUAUCGCCUGCUGUCUUGAGUCUUCACUGACUUAAAAGCAGUUCUUAUGUAGGACCUCUACUCCUGUUCAUAUUUAUGAUGUUGCCUUUAUAAUGCUAUAUUUUGUCUGUUUCAUCCUGUGUGCCUGUAUUUUUUCUUUUUUUAUACUGCAUAAUUCCUGGGAUCCAGAUUCAUAUUUCCAAAAAAACAUCAUUGUAUUUCCAGCAUUUUACACAGUCCCUGGCAUAUGGUAGUUGUUUAUAACUUUUUGUUAAAGAUCUUCCAUUUUGCACCUUAUGAUAAUUGUUAGAUAAAAAUCUAAAAUAAUGCAUCACUAGAAAAUGUAACAUAGUAAAUAAACAUUGCAUAUGUGUGCCUUAUAAUGCCAUGUAGAAAAGAGUGUGCUCAAAAUUCCUUAUUGGAUAAAGAAGCAAAAGGUCAUCGUGACAUAAGUCUGAUGCACGUAAAUUAAAGAGUUAUUUGUUCAACAAAGAACAGCAAUAACAAAGUCUCCCAAAAUCUGAUGUCAGGAUUAGCUGGUGAAAAGAUUAAGAUGUGUUUUUUUUUUCUCUCAUUGUCCCAAUACCUCUCAAUGGAACCAACAAAUAUCUGCUGCAAUGUCUGUUUCUUAAAAAUUACCUGUUGGGCACCAUGUACACUAUUCAAGUUGAUGGGUAGACUAAAAGCCCAGACUUCACCACUAUACAAUUCAUUCAUGUAACCAAAAACCGCUAGUAUCACAGAAGCUAUUGAAAUUUUAAAAAAAAUUAGCCUGCUUCUUAGCCAAUCACUACUGAAGUUCUGCAACAGGCCUAUCAACCAAGACGUAUGAGAUAAAUUGCUCAUUCCACCUACUGUUUCUUUGUCAGGGUACUCGCAAAGCUAUGGACCCAAGUCUUUGAGAAGCCCUAUCACUAGGAAUAAAGGAUAAGCAUGAAUUAACAGGGACAGAAGUAUACGAGAAAUUUUAUUUUGAAGCAAGAUUUAUACUACCCCACUUCUGUAAGAUCUGAAGUAUCAGCACUAUUUGACUUGCUGCAGAGGAAAUCAGAACUAGUGUGAGGACCUGUAAACUUAUAUCAGCAACUUGGACCUUGCCUGGCCAAAGCUGUUAGAGCAGUAUGUUGAGACACCUGGAGCUACAGAAGGAGUCACGCUCACUAAAAAGAUGCCAGGACAUACUGAGAAAGCUAAGGCAGAAAUAGCACAAUUGAGUCAAGUGCUGGAUUAGGGCCAGAAAAUGAAGAAAAAUCACGCUGAGAUAUAAUUGGGGAAUAGAAGGAUCUUUGAACAAGCAUCGGGAAUACUAAGUAGUUUUUGAGUGGUGUGUAGACAGGUAAUCUUGGAAUAAAAUGUUUUGUAAAUAAUAAAAAACACCCUCUAUUUCCUCUAUGGGAUAAACAUUUUCUUCAAAGAGAAGAAAGUAGAGAGCUUAUCUGUGCCAGGAAUUCUAAGGCCUCAGUGGAGUUACUGCUUGGAAUUUCUACCCAAUCCCCUGGUAGCAGGCCUCCUGGCCAACUCCAUGGAGCCUGGGUUUUCACAAAGCUGGAGCCUUACAGAAAGCACAAGGUAAGACUGAGAAAUAGAAGGCUGACUUUAAGAAAAGGAGUACAAUACUCUAUUGAAAGUUGUCAUCUAGAUGUUCUUCUACCUGAGUGUUUUCUGGACAACAUCCUUGUUCAUUUGGCAGUCAAGUCUCUCAAGAACGCUUAGAGGGAUGAUUGAUGACCUGGGCUGGAUCCCAAUUCUGGAACAAGAUGGCAUAUCCUCGCUUUUCUCUGUUCCUCAGUGGCCCUCUCCAGGUUGCCCAAUGACAGUAGGUAGCCCAAGGAAGUACCUUCCACUUCCACAGAUGACACCAGAACAUUGAUUGAGCAGUAAGCCCAACAGCAUGCGAAAAAUGAAGAACCAUUCAACCAGAAUAACAUUGCAAGAGCUCAGAAAACUAAACUUUCAUUGGAACUAAAGCCAAUAAAAGUAGGACAGACCUGACAAGCAGAACCUAAACAGGACAACUGCCUGCUAAAACAGAAGGUGUAAAUAGGAUCAAGUGUCUCCUAACAUAAGAACUAAAAUGUCCAGGAUGUAACAGAAAAUCAUUCAUCAAGAACCAGGCAAGCUACAAUCUGAAUGAGGAAAGACAAUCCACUGGUGCCAAUAAUAACAAGAUAAAUUAGAUGUUGGAAUAUCUGACAAAGAUUUUAAAGCAGCUGUCAUAAAACACACCAAAAAUCAAUUACAAAUCCUCUUAAAACAAAUAAAAAUAUAGAAAAUCUGAGCAAAGAAAUAAAAUGAUGGAAAAUACUUGGGAUAGCUUGCAUAGCACCAUUUCCAGGCCAACUUCUAUGACCCUGGCUGCUUUUCAACUAAUCAUAACUAUUAGACAUGUUAGGAACAGUUCUGGAUUGGAAUACCCCCUGGGACAAACAAGGAUAUGUAGUGACUCUUAAGUUUCCUUAUCUGUACUUCAAAUUUCACCCCUCUUCCCUCUUUUCCUAAUUUUCCUCAGUAAAUUUAACUCUUUAGGAAAGGUCAGUGGUUCACUCAGCUCCUGGACAUGAUUAUAGUAUUCUAAGAACUAAAAAUAACAUGUAUUCAUGCUCUGUUCAGGGACUACCCAACCCGACCUGACUUGUUGCUGUCAAAAUUGGCAGGUACCUACAAUACUGAUUGGGGUGGGGAGGGUACCCUUUUGUUAAAAGUUCCUGGUUUUACUGUCUCUAAGUCUAUACCUAGUUUGAAGAUAGAUGGUUUUAGUGAGGUCACAUAUACUAAUGGAAACAGAGUAGCAGCUGAUGACCAAGAUUGCCUUUAGAGUUUAGAAACACUGCCUUGAAUUGGGCUUAUCCUAAGCCCCAAAUUUUAGCCUGCACUAGCCAAGUUGAUUUUAUUAUUAGAACACUUUAAGUUCAUAUCUGUCAUGUAGCAAGCAGUGGAAAGUAACAGCCAGACACCCAAGAAUGUUAUCAAGGUCUCCAAGCACUGGCAAAGGCAUUAUGCCCAGAAAGAUCCUUGCGAUGAGACAUUUUCAGCCAUUCAAAUGUAGUUACAACUGACCAAGGCAAAAUGGGGAAAUAAUAGUACCUGCUUCAUCAGGUUGUUAUGAGUAUUACAUGAGACAGCACAUUAGUUAUAAUGAUGAUGGUCAUGGUGAUGACUUUUCUGGAAACCAAAGAAGGGAUGCUAUUCUGCAGGGCUUAGAAGUAGAGGAGCAUAACCCCCUAAAAACAGUAAGAGAAGCUAAGACUAAAGGGGUGGGUUAAGACAGAGCCCAUAAUGCCCAAAUGCCAAAAGAGUGGAAAAAAAGCAACAAAUCCGUAAGAGAAAGACAAAACAGAGGGAUACGCGCUGGAUGUCAAGUCAAGAAAGCAGAACCAGAGGGUGAAAACAGCUUAAGAUCAAAUGGACUGGUGGCUGAGGGGUCUCAAACAAUGUCCUUCAAUGUUGUCGCUAUCUGAAGCUGACUUUUAUGAUGCAAUGUUAAGGAGUAUGACCUGCCUUAUAGGCCCAAAAGUGGGAAGGCAGUUGAGAGGCCAUCACAACAAAUAAUUAUUCAAAACCAGUUUUUGUAUUCUAGUUUUGGUGGUGGAAAGCUGAAAUGCUU